rnacentral:lncRNA from 1 species
UUCACUUUAUUUCUAUUCAUUUAAUUUAAUUUUAUUAUUUUUCAAUCUAAUAAUGGUAUUAAGUUUAUCGGUUUGAAUACUCAAUAAAAAAGCCCAGCCUCUCAUUCCCUUAAUUGUAUGAGUUUGCUUAUUUGGUUGCCAAAGCAGGGUAAAAUCCAUACUUUUAAUUUAUACGAUGAACACCUCUUCUUAAUUUUAGCCUAUAUAUUAGAAGACAAAAUCAACGUGAAGGGGGAGAGAGAUCAGGAGAGAUUGAUUUUACAAAAAAAAGAUUGCAACUAAAAAAG